GGCUCUGUGGCGCAAUGGAUAGC
rnacentral:piRNA from 3 species